UACGAAGGGGGCUAGCGUUGCUCGGAAUCACUGGGCGUAAAGGGUGCGUAGGCGGGUCUUUAAGUCAGGGGGGAAAUCCUGGAGCUCAACUCCAGAACUGCCUUUGAUACUGAGGAUCUUGAGUUCGGGAGAGGUGAGUGGAACUGCGAGUGUAGAGGUGAAAUUCGUAGAUAUUCGCAAGAACACCAGUGGCGAAGGCGGGUCUCUGGGCAAUUCCUGACGCUGAGGCGCGAAAGCGUGGGGAGCAAACGGG
rnacentral:rRNA from 1 species